rnacentral:rRNA from 1 species
GUGGGGAAUCUUGCGCAAUGGGCGAAAGCCUGACGCAGCCAUGCCGCGUGAAUGAUGAAGGUCUUAGGAUUGUAAAAUUCUUUCACCGGGGACGAUAAUGACGAUACCCGGAGAAGAAGCUCCGGCUAACUUCGUGCCAGCAGCCGCGGUAAUACGAAGGGGGCUAGCGUUGCUCGGAAUUACUGGGCGUAAAGGGCGCGUAGGCGGACAGCUUAGUCAGAGGUGAAAGCCCAGGGCUCAACCUUGGAAUUGCCUUUGAUACUGGCUGUCUUGAGUUUGGGAGAGGUGGGUGGAACUCCGAGUGUAGAGGUGAAAUUCGUAGAUAUUCGGAAGAACACCAGUGGCGAAGGCGACUCACUGGCCCAAUACUGACGCUGAGGCGCGAAAGCGUGGGGAGCAAACAGGAUUAGAUACCCCAGUAGUCC